UACGGAGGGUGCGAGCGUUGUCCGGAAUCACUGGGCGUAAAGGGCGCGUAGGCGGCAUGCCAAGCGUGUGGUGAAAGCCCGGGGCUCAACCCCGGGUCGGCCGUGCGGACUGGCGUGCUCGAGCACUGUAGGGGCGGGUGGAAUUCCAGGUGUAGCGGUGAAAUGCGUAGAUAUCUGGAGGAAUACCGGUGGCGAAGGCGGCGUUCUGGACUGCAACUGACACUGAUGAACGAAAGCCAGGGGAGCAAACGGG
rnacentral:rRNA from 1 species